rnacentral:rRNA from 1 species
AUUGAACGCUGGCGGCAUGCCUUACACAUGCAAGUCGAACGGUAACGCGGGGCGACCUGGCGACGAGUGGCGAACGGGUGAGUAAUGUAUCGGAACGUGCCCAGUUGUGGGGGAUAACUGCUCGAAAGAGCAGCUAAUACCGCAUACGACCUGAGGGUGAAAGCGGGGGAUCGCAAGACCUCGCGCAAUUGGAGCGGCCGAUAUCAGAUUAGGUAGUUGGUGAGGUAAAGGCUCACCAAGACGACGAUCUGUAGCUGGGCGGAGAGGACGACCAGCCACACUGGGACUGAGACACGACCCAGACUCCUACGGGAGGCAGAAGUGGGGAAUUUUGGACAAUGGACGCAAGUCUGAACCAGCCAUGCCGCGUGCGGGAAGAAGGCCUUCGGGUUGUAAACCGCUUUUGUCAGGGAAGAAACGCUCUGGGUUAAUACCUCGGGGUAAUGACGGUACCUGAAGAAUAAGCACCGGCUAACUACGUGCCAGCCGCCGCGGUAA